AAGUCGUAACAAGGUUUCCGUAGGUAAUAGGUUUGCCUGCCGAAGCCCCGAGCCAGCGACUCUAAAGAAUUUAGCCAUAGUCGCCCCUUCAGGGGCUGGCGACGCCAUCAAUCUGUGUCUGGCAGUGCCUCCCUUAGGGGUUACCACCAGCAGCUCGCAUUCGAGUUCACAGAUCAAACGAUAGCGGCCACUUCGGUGGUUGAGAUAUGAUCGGCCCCCAGCUGUCACCCGGCUGGCGAGAUUUAGCGGAACCUGCGGAAGGAUCAUUAAUGA
rnacentral:misc_RNA from 1 species